GAAAAUAAAAUCACUGUUCUCCUUAAUGUCUGCACAGACUUUAAAGAUAACAGCUGUUUCUUUGUUUGCAGACAUCUGCAGAAAGCUAAGAGAAAUCUGAGUAUCCUGUGGAGAGCAACUUUCUGACUGAGUGGUACUUACUUGCUGCGCAGCCCUCCUGCUCUGAACCAUACAGACAGAAACAACGGGGUUGGAGCUGUCCUCCUGUGAAAUGCCUGGCUGGUGUGUGUGACAGGCCUUCAAAGGGCUGCCUCCAUGGGAAACGAGGUGAACUGGCUCACACAAGCAGCUCCAUCCUGCCUGUUGCAGUGAAAGUCUGUGUUGGAUGGACCAAAGAUCUCAUGGGCUAACAAAUCUCAUUGCAAUUAUGUGAGUUGCAACCCAUAGGAAAUUUUUCAUUAUAGCUUAAAUUGCCAUCACCUGAGCAGAGAUGUCUGUAUGAUCAACCAGCUGCACAAAGACUUGUGCUCAUCUGAGCUGUUAUAAAUCUGCUCAAGAAAUCCAUGCCUCAAGAGCAACUGAAGAAGUAAAGAUACUAAACAGGAGAUGAAACUGCCAAAAGAUGUUCCUGGUAUCACAGUGCAGCUGACAGGACUCAAAGACCACUGGAGAUACAUGAAGAUUCAAGGACUGAUUUCUUUACUAGAUUAGUUCCACAGAUUCCUGCAGUGCAGUCACACAGCUGAGAACUUCAGUGGAAAAUCUGUUGGGUUUUGUUUUUGGUGUUUUUUGUUUGGUUGGUUGGUUUUUUGUUAACAGUAAUCGUGCAGUCCUAUUCUGUUGAAUCCAGAGUGAAAUGUAUAAUAUGGACUGGAACAUGUAGACAGUAAGUUAUAUUUUGCUCGGUCAGUCUAAAACUCUCUUACCAGUGUAUUUUGAGGGGGGGCAUUUUAUCUGUAUGGCCAUGUCUAGAACCAUCUCU
rnacentral:lncRNA from 1 species